UACGUAGGGAGCAAGCGUUGUCCGGAUUCACUGGGUGUAAAGGGUGCGCAGGCGGGUUGGUAAGUCAGAGGUGAAAGCUCACGGCUCAACCGUGAAACUGCCUUUGAAACUACCAAUCUUGAGUUCGGGAGAGGUCGAUGGAAUUCCAGGUGUAGCGGUGAAAUGCGUAGAUAUCUGGAAGAACACCAGUAGCGAAGGCG
rnacentral:rRNA from 1 species